GUAUAGAUUUUAUAGGCAACAAAGGCCCAAUAAUUACAUUCUAUAACUUUAAUUGGGGUGUAUGAGGAGACAUAGGCCUGGAAAUGUAAGGAGAGACUAAUAAAUCAAUCCUCAAAAACCCGAGUGCCAACUCAAAGUUAGCCCAUCAGAGAGAUAUCCAGGUCUACAAAAUGUGCACAGGAGGAUAUAUAAAGAUGACAAGUGUGCACAUGCUCCCUAGAGAACCAGCAACAACUCAUCAGAUUUAUUUCAAUAAUGAUCCUUCCGCAGGUUCACCUACGGAAA
rnacentral:misc_RNA from 1 species